AAAGAAACCAACAGGGAUUGCCUCAGUAACGGCGAGUGAAGCGGCAAGAGCUCAAAUUUGAAAGCUGGCCCCCUCGGGGUCCGCGUUGUAAUUUGCAGAGGAUGCUUCGGGUGCAGCCCCCGUCUAAGUGCCCUGGAACGGGCCGUCAUAGAGGGUGAGAAUCCCGUCUGGGACGGGGUGUCUGCGUCCGUGUGAAGCUCCUUCGACGAGUCGAGUUGUUUGGGAAUGCAGCUCUAAAUGGGUGGUAAAUUUCAUCUAAAGCUAAAUACUGGCCGGAGACCGAUAGGGCACAAGUAGAGUGAUCGAAAGAUGAAAAGCACUUUGAAAAGAGAGUUAAACAGCACGUGAAAUUGUUGAAAGGGAAGCGUUUGCGACCAGACUCGCCCGCGGGGUUCAGCCGGCACUCGUGCCGGUGUACUUCCCCGUGGGCGGGCCAGCGUCGGUUUGGGCGGCCGGUCAAAGGCCCUCGGAAUGUAUCACCCCUCGGGGUGUCUUAUAGCCGAGGGUGCAAUGCGGCCUGCCCGGACCGAGGAACGCGCUUCGGCUCGGACGCUGGCGUAAUGGUCGUAAAUGAC
rnacentral:rRNA from 1 species